AAAGCAGAGCUUGCCCUGUGGAUCAGUGGCGAACGGGUGAGUAACACGUGAGCAAUCUGCCCCUGACUCUGGGAUAAGCGCUGGAAACGGCGUCUAAUACCGGAUACGAGCUGCGACCGCAUGGUCAGUAGCUGGAAAGAAUUUCGGUCAGGGAUGAGCUCGCGGCCUAUCAGCUUGUUGGUGAGGUAAUGGCUCACCAAGGCGUCGACGGGUAGCCGGCCUGAGAGGGUGACCGGCCACACUGGGACUGAGACACGGCCCAGACUCCUACGGGAGGCAGCAGUGGGGAAUAUUGCACAAUGGGCGCAAGCCUGAUGCAGCAACGCCGCGUGAGGGAUGACGGCCUUCGGGUUGUAAACCUCUUUUAGCAGGGAAGAAGCGAAAGUGACGGUACCUGCAGAAAAAGCGCCGGCUAACUACGUGCCAGCAGCCGCGGUAAU
rnacentral:rRNA from 1 species